UACGGAGGGUGCAAGCGUUAUCCGGAUUCACUGGGUUUAAAGGGUGCGUAGGCGGGCAGGUAAGUCCGUGGUGAAAUCCUUGAGCUUAACUCGAGAACUGCCAUUGAUACUAUCUGUCUUGAAUAUUGUGGAGGUAAGCGGAAUAUGUCAUGUAGCGGUGAAAUGCUUAGAUAUGACAUAGAACACCUAUUGCGAAGGCAGCUUACUACGCAUAUAUUGACGCUGAGGCACGAAAGCGUGGGGAUCAAACAGG
rnacentral:rRNA from 1 species